AUUGAACGCUGGCGGCAGGCCUAACACAUGCAAGUCGAGCGGAUGAAGGGAGCUUGCUCCUGGAUUCAGCGGCGGAUGGGUGAGUAAUGCCUAGGAAUCUGCCUGGUAGUGGGGGAUAACGUCCGGAAACGGGCGCUAAUACCGCAUACGUCCUGAGGGAGAAAGUGGGGGAUCUUCGGACCUCACGCUAUCAGAUGAGCCUAGGUCGGAUUAGCUAGUUGGUGGGGUAAAGGCCUACCAAGGCGACGAUCCGUAACUGGUCUGAGAGGAUGAUCAGUCACACUGGAACUGAGACACGGUCCAGACUCCUACGGGAGGCAGCAGUGGGGAAUAUUGGACAAUGGGCGAAAGCCUGAUCCAGCCAUGCCGCGUGUGUGAAGAAGGUCUUCGGAUUGUAAAGCACUUUAAGUUGGGAGGAAGGGCAGUAAGUUAAAACCUUGCUGUUUUGACGUUACCAACAGAAUAAGCACCGGCUAACUUCGUG
rnacentral:rRNA from 1 species